rnacentral:rRNA from 1 species
GAUGAACGCUGGCGGCGUGCCUAAUACAUGCAAGUCGAGCGAACGGACGAGAAGCUUGCUUCUCUGAUGUUAGCGGCGGACGGGUGAGUAACACGUGGAUAACCUACCUAUAAGACUGGGAUAACUUCGGGAAACCGGAGCUAAUACCGGAUAAUAUUUUGAACCGCAUGGUUCAAAGGUAAAAGACGGUCUUGCUGUCACUUAUAGAUGGAUCCGCGCUGCAUUAGCUAGUUGGUAAGGUAACGGCUUACCAAGGCAACGAUGCAUAGCCGACCUGGGAGGGUGAUCGGCCACACUGGAACUGAGACACGGUCCAGACUCCUACGGGAGGCAGCAGUAGGGAAUCUUCCGCAAUGGGCGAAAGCCUGACGGAGCAACGCCGCGUGAGUGAUGAAGGUCUUCGGAUCGUAAAACUCUGUUAUUAGGGAAGAACAUAUGUGUAAGUAACUGUGCACAUCUUGACGGUACCUAAUCAGAAAGCCACGGCUAACUACGUG